UACAGAGGGUGCAAGCGUUGUUCGGAAUUAUUGGGCGUAAAGGGAGUGUAGGCGGUUUGCUAAGUCUUCUGUGAAAUCUACGGGCUCAGCCUGUAACGUGCAGAGGAAACUGACAGACUUGAGUGUCGGAGAGGAUAGUGGAAUUCCCGGUGUAGAGGUGAAAUUCGUAGAGAUCGGGAGGAACACCAGUGGCGAAGGCGACUAUCUGGCCGACAACUGACGCUGAGACUCGAAAGCAUGGGGAGCAAACAGG
rnacentral:rRNA from 1 species